rnacentral:rRNA from 1 species
AUUGAACGCUGGCGGCAGGCCUAACACAUGCAAGUCGAACGAGUGGCGGACGGGUGAGUAAUGUCUGGGAAACUGCCUGAUUGCGGGGGAUAACUACUGGAAACGGUAGCUAAUACCGCAUACCAUCGGACUUGCCCAUAUGUGAUUCGCUAGUAGGUGGGGUAAAGGCUCACCUAGGCGACGAUCCCUAGCUGGUCUGAGAUGAUGACCGGCCACACGGGAACUGAGACACGGUCCAGACGCCUACGGGAGGCAGAAGUGGGGAAUAUUGCACAAUGGGCGCAAGCCUGAUGCAGCCAUGCCGCGGGUAUGAAGAAGGCCUGCGGGUUGUAAAGUACUUUCAGCGGGGAGGCGUUACCAGAAGAAGAAGCACCGGCUAACUCCGUGCCAGCAGCCGCGGUAAUAC